rnacentral:misc_RNA from 1 species
GCCAUGGACUGCAGAAACUGGGAAGAAGACAUAUACAGAGAUUCCAUUAUACUCGAGAGAGAAUCUCAAUGUCGAACGGUCUUCCGGACUGCAUUUGCCCCGAACCCGGACCAUAAUUCCUAUCCGGACCUCAUCGUCGCCGCCAUUAGCGACGGCUCCAUUGCGGCUUACUCUAUCUCUUCUUGCCUUGGAUUGAACUCAGCGGGCAAUUCAUUGGUGCCAGUA